CAGGAACGCUGGCGGCGUGCCUAAUACAUGCAAGUCGAGCGGAAGUUGAAGAGCUUGCUCUUCAACUUUAGCGGCGGACGGGUGAGUAACACGUGGGCAACCUGCCCUGCAGAUCGGGAUAACUCCGGGAAACCGGUGCUAAUACCGAAUAGUUUUCGCCACCUCCUGGUGGCGUACGGAAAGACGGUUUCGGCUGUCACUGCAGGAUGGGCCCGCGGCGCAUUAGCUAGUUGGUGGGGUAACGGCCCACCAAGGCGACGAUGCGUAGCCGACCUGAGAGGGUGAUCGGCCACACUGGGACUGAGACACGGCCCAGACUCCUACGGGAGGCAGCAGUAGGGAAUCUUCCGCAAUGGACGAAAGUCUGACGGAGCAACGCCGCGUGAGUGACGAAGGUUUUCGGAUCGUAAAACUCUGUUGUGAGGGAAGAACAAGUACCAACUAACUACUGGUACCUUGACGGUACCUCACCAGAAAGCCACGGCUAACUACGUGCCAGCAGCCGCCGUAAGAC
rnacentral:rRNA from 1 species